AAUUCUUAACAAAAUGGAAAAUGUGAACACAGUUUUUGAGUACAACAUUAUAGCAGGGUUUAGAAAAAAUAGUAAACUUUUGUAUAUUGAAAAGGAAGAACAAAUCUAUAAACAUAAAUAUACAAGUAGAAAUAUUAAAUACUAUUAUUGUUACAAUAAGAACUGUAAAGUUGGCGUUGCAGUUGAUUUCAACAACCUCCUGAUUCAUUGUCGUAAAAUUAAAAACUCAAAUUCAGUCCAUGGUCAUAAAAACACAAAAUAUAUUGUUUGAAAAGUUGAAAAUAAUAAAUGCGAUCAAAAGUGAGGUCAAAAUGCCACUUUAAAAAGAACUAGUGUUCGUUAAAUAUUUGACAAAUUGUGCAAAAAGCAUAUAUCAUCCGCACAUUUAGUGGAGUUUGGUUCAAUGCGUAGAGAUUUGUUUGAAAUAAAACACGAAAAAUAUCCCAAACAACCUACCACAUCAUGGAUAUGUUUACAAAUGAAGAAGUUCAAAAACAAUUCGCUAUGUCCAGAUUUGAUCCAAAAAGACAAUUUACAUAGACACAAUUAUAGAGAAAGACUUUUCAUACGCUUUGUUUAUUUCACCGACUAUUUCUAAUGCUAUAACCAAAAUGAGUGGCUCUGAAGGAAGCAGUUAUAUUAUUGAUGGAACUUUUAGUAGUGUACCAUUUUCUAAACAGUUUAAACAAUUGCUCAUAAUACACCUAAUUCACGCAGAUCACGCGUAUCCGUUUAUUUACAUAUGUGCUGAUGUCAUCAAAAUCCGAGGCAGCAUACGUACAUCUACUAAAAUAUAUACAAUCCAAUGUGUUGGAUCUGCAUCCAAAGUCAAUACUUACUGAUUAUGAAGCCAGCAUGCGUAAUGCUUUCAAAUGUGUAUACUCAGAAGUAAAAGCGAUCGGAUGUUGGUUCCAUUGCACAAACGUUCUUCGGCGAAAAGCAUCUAAAAUUUCUAAUUUCAUUACAAAAUGAAAUAGAAAUAAAGGAGCCAAAGCAUUAUUCUCAAAAUGUCUCUAUUUACCGUUGCUGAAACCUAAAGAUAUUGAGAAUGCUUAUGCCAUUUUAGAAAGUAUGGGUGAAAAUCUGUGUACAGGAAACAAGACUGAAAGCUUUUUCGGUCCUUUCAUAAAAUACUUCAAAUGUCAGUGGAUGGUAAAAGAAAAACCGGUCAAUUUUACAGUAUAUAACGAACUCAUGAGGACUACUAACUGUGCGGAAAGUUUUCAUAGCCGUUUAAACAUAAAGCUUCCGAAGCGUGGUAAUAUUUUCAAGUUUUUGGACACACUUAGAAAUAGAUUCGGAGAAAUGUUGUGAUUUUUCAAAAUCAACUUCCGGCUGCAGCUGCAAAAUCAAUAUGUUAUCGACGUGACUGUUAUAUAAAGCAAAAUCUCGGCUUAUUGAAACAAAAAAAAAAAAAAAACAUUAAUGGGAAUUCUCACACAGUUUUAACAUAUGAAAAACUGUUUGGGUGCAGAAGAUUUCAUAAAUGAGCUUCACACUUCUGACGAUGAUGAAUCCAACAACGAUGAAGCAAGUGGAGAAGGAAGCUUAAACACAACAAAGCCUCUUAUGUAUAAUAUGUUGCGAAAGGGAAAGGCAGCUUCUUUUCAACCCGUGCAAACAUUACACUGUUUGUCAAGAUUGUUAUAAUCAUAUGAAAAAUAGAAAUGAUUCGUUAGGCAUAAAAACAUUAUGUCCAAUUUGCAGAGCGAUUAUU
rnacentral:lncRNA from 1 species